UGCCUUGCGGUCUGAGACCGAGCAAUUGCCAUACCAGGAAGUGAUGCAACCAGUCAGGAUGCUCUCGAUGUUGCAGCUGUAGAACCUUUUGAGGAUCUCAGGACCCAUGCCAAAUCUUUUUAGUUUCCUGAGGGGGAAUAUGCUUUGUCGUGCCCUCUUCAUGACUGUCUUGGUGUGUUUUGACCAUUCUAGUUUGUUGGUGAUGUGGACACCAAGGAACUUGAAGCUCUCAACCUGCUCCACUACAGCCCCGUCGAUGAGAAUGGGGGCGUACUCGGUCCUCCUUUUCCUGUAGUCCACAAUCAUCUCCUUAGUCUUGGUUACGUUGAGGGAAAGAGACUGGACACUGGCGAGUAAUAUACUCAGAAGCGGUGGGUGGUGUGCACGCCUUCGAAGUCUGACCAGGAGGUUGCUCCGUCUACCUCUCCUGCGGCGACGUUGUUUUGUGUUGGCCUCUGGAAUCAGAUCCAAUGUCCUGGGUGGUGGUGCGAACAAAGGAUCCACUUUGGGAAAGUCGUAUUCCUGGUCGUAAUGUUGUCUGCAGAUGCAGAGGCUGCAGGUCCUGGAGGAUCGUCUCUGGUCAAGUAGGAGAGGACUGAAUGGACAACAGUAGUGUCGAAAAGGAAAAUUGUCUAAAAUUGAAGUGGAGGAUACGUGUAUGUCGGUUAAUUAAUAGUUUAUUUUCUUGGGAUGCAUUUGUUGAGUAAGGAUGCAUAUGUGGGAGACCUGUUUGAGGUGUCAAAUUGUGAAGUAUGCGCUGGGAAAAGUGGAGUCUCAGAGUGACCAGGAGCAGUCUUAUUUUGAUUGAUUGUAUUUCUGAAGAAAAGAAGAAGAUUGCAGUGGGCCUCAAAAGAAUAUACGGACAAGAGAAGUAUUGUACUUUGAACUCUCAGAGGUGAUGACGAAUGUUCAGGUUGAAUAUCUGAAGAGAAUUCCUGGUUUGGUUGGUGCCCGGCAUUUGACCCACUGGGUGAAUGUAGAAAAAGAAGAAAGUCUGUCGGUCCUGUUGUUUUUUGUUAAAGAGAACCUACCUACACAUGUCAAGCUUGGUUAUGUAAGAUACGCUGUAAGAGAUUUUGUCCCCAAAUCAUUGCAGUGAAAAAAAAUGAAAGGAUUUGGCCAUGUUUCAAGUGUGUGCAGACGGACGGAGUAUACUGAAGAAUUGCGUGUAGAAAGACGACAGUGUUGCAAUUGUGGUUGGGAUCCGAAUCCCCAGUUCCUGCAGUGCCCUGUAAGGGUGAAGGAGAUUGAGGUGGCAAAAGUUAGAGCGAUCAACAGAAUUUCCUAUGCGGAGGUGAUUUAUUAAAAGAGUUGAGCAAACAAGUGACGCUAGUGAAGAUAUGGUAGUGAAUUGAUUGAAUCAGAUGACUCAUUCAUUG
rnacentral:lncRNA from 1 species